UGGUACCUCAAACCACCCAUGUAAUCCUUCUUUUCCUCUCAUAUUUUUAUCACAUAAGAACACAAAAACAAAAAAAAAAAUAUGAAAGAAAAUCAAUAAGAGAAGACAAUCUUUUCUCUUACUUUUCUUUUCUACAAGACAUCAACUUUUGAUCUCUUGUUAAAGAACUCACCUCCAUGGAUUUUGGUGCCUAAAACCCCC
rnacentral:lncRNA from 1 species